AGCCUCGAGGUGAAUUACACCAAAGUGCAAAUUUGGAGAAGCACCCUAAAAGGUGCCGGGGCUU
rnacentral:tRNA from 1 species